rnacentral:rRNA from 1 species
UCGGGAAUUUUGCACAAUGGCCGAAAGGCUGAUGCAGCAACGCCGCGUGAGCGAAGAAGGCCUUCGGGUUGUAAAGCUCUGUUGCCUGCGAAGAAGGGCCCUGUCAGGAAAUGGGCGGGGUUUGACGGUAGCAGGCGAGGAAGCCCCGGCAAACUACGUGCCAGCAGCCGCGGUAAUACGUAGGGGGCGAGCGUUGUCCGGAAUUACUGGGCGUAAAGGGCGUGUAGGCGGCCUGUUAAGUCAGGGGUGAAAGACCGGGGCUCAACCCCGGGGGUGCCUCUGAAACUGGCGGGCUUGAGUGCUCUAGAGGGCAGUGGAAUUCCCGGUGUAGCAGUGAAAUGCGUAGAGAUCGGGAGGAACACCAGUGGCGAAGGCAGCUGCCUGGGGAGUCACUGACGCUGAGGCGCGAAAGCUAGGGGAGCAAACAGG